AAAGAAACUAACAAGGAUUCCCCUAGUAACGGCGAGCGAAGCGGGAAGAGCUCAAAUUUGAAAGCUGGCGUCUUCGGCGUCCGCGUUGUAAUCUCGAGACGUGUUUUCCGUGCGGCUCUAUGGACAAGUCCCUUGGAACAGGGCAUCGUAGAGGGUGAAAAUCCCGUACUUGCCAUGGAAGUACCGUGCUUUGUGAUACACGCUCCAAGAGUCGAGUAGUUUGGGAUUGCUGCUCAAAGUGGGUGGUAGACUCCAUCUAAAGCUAAAUAUCGGGGAGAGACCGAUAGCGAACAAGUACCGUGAGGGAAAGAUGAAAAGCACUUUGGAAAGAGAGUUAAAAGUACGUGAAAUUGUCGAAAGGGAAGCACUUGAAGUCAGCCAUGCUGCUUGAGACUCAGCCUGGCUUUUGCUUGGUGUAUUUCUCGGUAGCAAGCCAGCAUUGGUUUGUGUCGUCGGAGAAGCGCAUGGGGAAUGUGGCAUCCUCGGAUGUGUUAUAGCCCUGUGCAGGAUACGACGACGUAGACCAAGGAACGCAGUGUGCCCUCUGGGCGGGUCUUCGGACACCUCACACUA
rnacentral:rRNA from 1 species